rnacentral:rRNA from 1 species
UACGUAGGUGGCAAGCGUUGUCCGGAUUUACUGGGCGUAAAGAGCGCGCAGGCGGUCGUUCAAGUCGCGUGUGAAAGCCCCCGGCUCAACCUGGGAAUUGCAUUUGAGACUGCGUAGCUAGGGUGCGGAAGAGGGAAGCGGAAUUUCCGGUGUAGCGGUGAAAUGCGUAGAUAUCGGAAGGAACACCAGUGGCGAAAGCGGCUUCCUGGUCCAGCACCGACGUUCAGGCACGAAAGCGUGGGGAGCAAACAGG